rnacentral:rRNA from 1 species
UAUGGCUCAGAACGAACGCUGGCGGCAGGCUUAACACAUGCAAGUCGAACGCCCCGCAAGGGGAGUGGCAGACGGGUGAGUAACGCGUGGGAACGUACCCUUUGGUUCGGAACAACUCAGGGAAACUUGAGCUAAUACCGGAUAAGUGCGAGAGCAGAAAGAUUUAUCGCCGAAGGAUCGGCCCGCGUCCGAUUAGCUAGUUGGUGAGGUAAAGGCUCACCAAGGCGACGAUCGGUAGCUGGUCUGAGAGGAUGAUCAGCCACAUUGGGGCUGAGACACGGCCCAAACUCCUACGGGAGGCAGCAGUGGGGAAUAUUGGACAAUGGGCGCAAGCCUGAAUCCAGCCAUGCCGCGUGAGUGAUGAAGGCCUUAGGGUUGUAAAGCUCUUUCGCCAGGGACGAUAAUGACGGUACCUGGAUAAGAAGCCCCGGCUAACUUCGUGCCAGCCGCGGC